CCCAGACAGAAAAAAGCCAAUCUUUGCAUUCACUUGCUUAAUGACAAUGUCAUUUCAUACUACAGAACAGGGUUAAAGACAGAAACAAACAACCUUAGGCCAGUUUUUACUUCUGAAAAGGUUGAAACCUAGUGAGCCAGAAAUGGGUCCUAGUGGGAUACAAACUCUCCUAAGGAGAGAAAGGACACCAAAGAGCCAGAUUCCUGAUGUUCUUAUAGAAGGGGCCUCUCCUUCCACACAACAGCCACCUUCCAUUCAUCCUCCCUUCCCUCAAGCCAAAGAUGUCAACUUGAAUGCUUACACAGCGAAUCAGCCCAUGCCCCGGAAACAAUCCAUUGGACACCCCAACCUCCUGCUCCUCUGUAC
rnacentral:lncRNA from 1 species